UACGGAAGGCAGCAGUGGGGAAUAUUGCACAAUGGGCGAAAGCCUGAUGCAGCUAUGCCGCGUGUAUGAAGAAGGCCUUAGGGUUGUAAAGUACUUUCAUCGGGGAGGAAAAACAAAACUAAUAAUUUUAUUUCUUGACGUUACCCGAAAAAGAAGCACCGGCUAACUCCGUGCCAGCAGCCGCGGUAAUACGGGGGUGCUAGCGUUAAUCAGAAUUACUGGGCGUAAAGAGCACGUAGGUGGUUUUUUUAAGUCAGAUGUGAAAUCCCUGGGCUUAACCUGGAACUGCAUUUUGAAACUGAAAUACUAGAGUAUCGUAGAGGGAGGUAGAAUUCUAGGUGUAGCGGUGAAAUGCGUAGAUAUCUGGAGGAAUACCUGUGGCGAAAGCGGCCUCCUAAACGAAUACUGACACUGAGGGUGCGAAAGCGUGGGGAGCAAACAGGGAUUAGAUACC
rnacentral:rRNA from 1 species